rnacentral:rRNA from 1 species
UGGUGGAGUGAUUUGUCUGGUUAAUUCCGUUAACGAACGAGACCUCGACCUGCUAAAUAGUUCGGCGAAUUCUUUUGGAUUCGUUCGUGACUUCUUAGAGGGACUAUCGGUGGGUAGCCGGUGGAAGUUCGAGGCAAUAACA